rnacentral:rRNA from 1 species
UAUUAUUUAAAAUGUAAAUAUUAAUACUUAAGUAGUAAUAGUUAUGUUCUUGAAACUUAAAAAAUUUGGCGGUAUUUUAGUCUAUCCAGAGGAACCUGUUUUGUAAUCGAUAAUCCACGAUGGACCUUACUUAAAUUUGUAACCAGUUUAUAUACCGUCGUUAUCAGAAUAUUUUAUAAGAAUAAUAAUAUUCAAUAAUUUUUAUUAAAAUUUAUAUCAGAUCAAGGUGUAGCUUAUGUUUAAGUAAUAAUGGGUUACAAUAAAUUUAUUUAAACGGAUAAAAUUAUGAAAAAAUUUUUGAAGGUGGAUUUGGUUGUAAAAUUAUAAAGAUUAAUAAUUUGAUUUUAGCUCUAAAAUAUGUACACAUCGCCCGUCGCUCUUAUUAUUAAGGUAAGAUAAGUCGUAACAUAGUAGAUGUACUGGAAAGUGUAUCUAGAAUGA